AUUGAACGCUGGCGGCAGGCCUAACACAUGCAAGUCGAGCGAGCGGCGGACGGGUGAGUAAUGUAUGGGGCCUGCCCGAUAGAGGGGGAUAACUACUGGAAACGGUGGCUAAUACCGCAUACUAUCGGAUAACCCAUAUGGGAUUAGCUCGUAGGUGGGGGAAAGGCUCACGUAGGCGACGCUCUCUAGCUGGACUGAGAGGAUGAUCAGCCACAAUGGGACAGAGACGCGGCCCAGACUCCUACGGAGGCAGCAGUGGAGAAUAUUGCACAAGGCGCGAAAGCCUGAUGCAGCCAUGCCGCGUGUAUGAAGAAGGCCUUAGGGUUGUAAAUUACUUUCAGCGGGGAUGCGUGACCCGCAGAAGAAGCACCGGAUAACUCAGUGGCAGCCGCCGCGGUAAUUC
rnacentral:rRNA from 1 species